rnacentral:rRNA from 1 species
UAUCAAGCUACUCAAGGGCUUAUGGUGGAUGACUUGGCUGAUAGAGGCGAUGAAGGGCGUGGCAAGCUGCGAUAAUCUGCAGGGAGGUGCAAGCAACCUGUGAUCUGCAGAUUCCCGAAUGAGGAAACUCUCGCAGGAUAAUGCCUGCGAAUCCUUCACUUAGUGAAGGAGGCAAACCCGAGGAAGUAAAACAUUUCAGUACUCGGAGGAAAAGAAACCGAAUGGUAUUCCCCCAGUAGCGGCGAGCGAAAAGGGAAGAGCCUAAACCUGAUAAAUGCUAAAACCUGCUGGUGUUGUUUAUCAGGGGUUAAGGGGUAUUGCGCAAAAGCACAGCAGUGCUUUUAAAAAGUUACAAAUCUAAUUUAUAGCAGAAUCUGUUGAAAAGCAGAACCAUAGAAGGUGAUAGUCCUGUAUGCGAAAUAAAUUAGACUUUUAGCAAUAUUCCCAAGUAUCACGGAGCACGGGAAACUCUGUGAGAAUUUGGGUCGACCAUGACCUAAGGCUAAAUACUCCUAUCAGACCGAUAGUGAACAAAGUACCGUGAGGGAAAGUUGAAAAGAACCCCUGUUAGGGGAGUGAAAUAGAACCUGAAACCAUAAGUCUACACAGCGGUCAGACCUUAUAUCUUAAUGAUAUAAGGGAUGGCGUACCUUUUGCUUAAUGGUCCAGGGAGUUAUUAUCUAUCGCAAGUCUAAUCCGUUUAAGCGGAGUAGGCGUAGCGAAAGCGAGUCCGAAUAGGGCGAUAAAGUGGUAGAUAAUAGACCCGAAGCCAGUCGAUCUAUCCAUAACCAGGGUGAACAUCACAGAAAUGUGGUGGGAGGCCCGAACCGGUGGUUGUUGAAAAAACCUCGGAUGAGUUGUGGAUUGGAGUGAAAGGCUAAUCAAGGCUGGUGAUAGCUGGUUCUCCCCGAAACGACUUUAGGGUCGGCCUUUAGGAAUUAGUUUAAGAGGGUAGAGCACAGGAUGGGCUAGGGUGGACUGUGUCCAUACCAACCCCAACCUAACUCCUAAUAUCUUAAACUGUACCUAAGGAGAAAGACUGUGAGGGCUAAGCUUCAUAGUCAAAAGGGAAACAGCCCAGACCGCCAGUUAAGGUCCCAAAACACAGGCUAAGUGGAAAAGGAUGUGAAACCGCUAAGACAGCCGGGAUGUUGGCUUGGAGGCAGCCAUCAUUUAAAGAGUGCGUAACAGCUCACCGGUCGAGCGGUUUUGCGCCGAAAAUGAACGGGGCUUAAGCCUGUUACCGAAACUGCGGAUUUAUCUUGAUUAUUCAAGAUAAAUGGUAGGGGAGCAUUCUAUACGCACUGAAGGUUUAUCGUAAGGUAAGCUGGAGUGUGUAGAAGAGAGUAUCUUGGAAUGAGUAGCGAAAAGACCGGUGAAAAACCGGUCCGCCGAAAACCUUAAGGUUUCUCCGUCAAUGUUAGUCAGACGGAGGUUAGGCGGUCCCUAAGCUAAACCCUGAUUUAACAGGGGUAGGUGAUGGGAAGCGGCGUUAAUAUUCGCCCCCCACUCAUAUACGUUAACUUAAGAAAUGACGCACAAGGUGCGUUGGUCGGACGGUUGGAUGUGUCCGUGUUUUGAAGGUAACUUCAAAACGGAGCCCAAGCUACGGCAAGGGUAAACCCAACAGGACUAAGUGCCAAGAAAUAAUUUCUUAAGUUGUUUAUGAGUGACCGUACCGUAAACCAACACAGGUAGGUUUCCAGAAUAUGGUAAGGCGUUCGGGAUAACUCUCGCUAAGGAACUCGGCAAUCUAGCCCCGUACGUUCGCAAGAAGGGGUGCCUUUGGUAGCAAUAUCAAAGGUCGCAGUGAAAUGGCUGUCGGGACUGUUUAGCAAAAACACAUGUCCCUGCUAAACUCAAAAAGAGGAUGUAUAGGGACUGAGACCUGCCCAGUGCCGGAAGGUUAAGAGGAGAGGUUAUCUGUCGCAAGACAGAGAAGCUUCGAUCCAAAGCCCCGGUAAACGGCGGCCGUAACUAUAACGGUCCUAAGGUAGCGAAAUUCCUAGUCGGGUAAGUUCCGACCCGCACGAAAGGUAUAACUACGGCAGCGCUGUCUCAGCGAGGGUCCCGGCGAAGUUGUAGUGGUGGUGAAGAUGCCACCUACCCGCAGUCGGACGAAAAGACCCCGGAACCUUUACUGUAAGCUGGUAUUGAAUUUUGGGGUAGUAUGUGUAGAAUAGGUGGGAGGCUAUGAAGCCCUGGCGCUAGUUAGGGCAGAGCCGACAGUGAAAUACCACUCUUACUAUUCUAAGGUUCUAAUCCUGCCUUCGGCAGGAGACAAUGCCAGUUGGGCAGUUUAACUGGGGCGGUUCCCUCUUAAAAAGUAACAGAGGGGCCCAAAGGUACCCUCAGUCCGUAUAGAAAUCGGAUGUUGAGUGUAAAGGCAUAAGGGUGCCUGACUGUGAGGUAGACAUACCGAGCAGACACGAAAGUGGGGCUUAAUGAUCCGGUGAUGGCUUAUGGAAGCGUCAUCGCUCAACGGAUAAAAGGUACUCCGGGGAUAACAGGCUUAUCGGGCCCGAGAGUUCACAUCGACGGCCCGGUUUGGCACCUCGAUGUCGGCUCAUCCCAUCCUGGGGGUGGAGAAGCUCCCAAGGGUCCUGCUGUUCGCAGGUUAAAGGGGUACGUGAGCUGGGUUCAGAACGUCGUGAGACAGUUCGGUCUCUAUCCACUGUGGGUGCGAGGAUUCCUGAAGGGGAGCUGUCCUUAGUACGAGAGGACCAGGACAGAGGAACCUCUGGCGUACCAGCUAUUCCGCCAGGAGUAAAGGCUGGGUAACUAUGUUCCUUUAAGAUAAGCACUGAAGGCAUAUAAGUGCGAAGCUGACCCCAAAACUAGGAAUCCCUUCCGCUUUUAGCGGAUGAAGGCUCGUAGGAGACUACUACGUAUAUAGGGCAUAGGUGUAAGUUCUGUGAGGGAUUUAGCCGAAUGCUCCUAAUAAGCCGAUCGACUUGAUACC